rnacentral:rRNA from 15 species
UACCAGAGGAGUACGUUAGCAAUAAUAAAACUCAAAGAAAUUGUCGGGAGUUCAUAUAAUUGGUGGAACAUAUUUUUUAAUUCGUCGAUACACGCAAAACCUUACCAUUUUUUGAAUUUUUAAACAAGUGUUGCAUGGCUGCCGUCAGCUCGUGUUUUGAAAUGUUAGGUUAAGUCCAUCAACGAGCAAAACUCUUUUUU